GACGAACGCUGGCGGCGUGCUUAACACAUGCAAGUCGAACGAAGUGGCGAACGGGUGAGUAACGAGUAAUCAACCUGCCCUUCAGAGGGGGAAAACAGUUGGAAACGACUGCUAAUACCGCAUACUGAAGGUGGGGAUUGCGUCUGAAUCGCUAGCUGGAGGGGUAACGGCCCACCAAGGCGAUGAUCAGUAGCCGGUCUGUGAUGAUGAACGGACACAUGUGGACUGAAACACGGCCCAGAGUCCUGCUGGAGACAGCCGUGGGGAGGCUUCCGCAAUGGACGAAAGGAUGACGAAGCAACGCCGCGGGAGUGAUGACGGCCUUCGGGUUGUAAAGCUCUGUUAAUCGGUACGCGGUACCGGAAGAGAAAGCCACGGCUAACUACGUGCCAGCAGCCGCGGUAAUAC
rnacentral:rRNA from 1 species